rnacentral:lncRNA from 1 species
ACUUCCCAUCAUGGUCAUUGGUCAGGAUUGAUGGGAGUUGUAAUCCACAAUAUCUGGACUGAACUAUCCCAGCAGUACAAGUAAAUUGAAACCAAAAGAUAAAAAAAUGUUGUGGAAUACAGAUAAUUAUACGCAGCAAAAGGAGCAGCUGGUACGUUCAUGUCUGUUAUAUGAUAUGAAAACUCCAUUGUGUGUUGCUAUUUUCUUUCUGUUUACUGAAGCAGCAAAUGAUAGUAAUUUUCUGAUUAUAAGGCAUGUAUAGCCAAGCUGUAUUGAUAUUGCUUUUGGGAGUGGGGAGUGGGAAUCCCUUAUUUUUUAAAAAAGAAAAAAAAACCCUAAGAAAUUCAUAGGGAUUAGUUUCCAGAAAAAUUUCAAGCUUGUAUUUAUACAGAUUUUUUAAAUCCCUAUUAAACUGAAGGUUUUAUAGCUUUGAUAUUUCACACUUUGAUAAGAUUAUACAAAAGGCAGGAGCAAUUUUAAAAUGAAGUUGGAGUGUUGUUCUCUUUAAUUCCCAAAUGCAAUGGGAAUUAAACAGUUUUCUAUUCUGCUUUCUGUGCAUAAGAACUUACCCUCUGGAAAUGUAUUUUUAAACUCCAGCUUUAAACAGCCAGACCCUGAUUUGUAAUGUGUCGUGAAUUUUUUUACACAUUUAAAAGUGAGGCUCCCUUUCUAAAGCCACAUUAUAGCUGCAAAAGCAUUACUUAUGACUUCCACUGAAAAAAGAAAAUCACAAAAAAAAACCACGAACUGCCAUGCUGGAAACACUGGUGUUGUUAACCAAGUGCAAACGUCAGUAAUUUUAAAUCCCCUCGGCCUAAUUAUAUAUAACAGAGAUCGCCAACUGGAAGCUUAAGGCCAUAUAAUUUCAGAGAAUUUGAAUCUGAUCCCUCGUCUCCUCGCCAAAUUUAAUCAGGCUGUGGUGAAAGAAAAACAAUAAUCUCAUUCGGUCUCACUUUAGAAGAAAUUGCUUCUAAAGUUGUGAAAGCCAAAAGAUACUCCACACUUUAAUAUGAUAUCUCUUAGGGAAGGGGAGUAAAAGUGGAGACUCCAUUUUGGGCCGCCAUAUUUUUUUAUGCUGCCUUCUCUUGCCAAGUCCUAGGAGGCAUUAUUAUUAUUAUUAUUAAUAUUAUUAUUAUUAAUAUUAUUAUUAUUAUUAUUAUUAGAAUGGGAGACAAAGGAUGAGCAAGUAAAAUCCCCAAUGAUACAUUGGGCAAUAGACGUUGGUCAUAAUAUAGACAUGGAAGCAUGGGAAUGAUUGUGGAAUUUACAUCAUGUUAUGCAGAGUCAUUCUCGACUGGACUUAUCUGUCAGGGGUCCUUUACCUUUUUACCUUUAUAAGGGACGCGGGUGGCACUGUGGUGUAAACCACUGAGCCUUGGGCUUGCAGAUCGGAAGGUCGGCUGUUCAAAUCCCCAUGACGGGGUGAGCUCCCAUUGUUUGGUCCCUGCUCCUGCCAGCCUAGCAGUUCAAAAGCACGUCAAAGUGCAAGUAGAUAAAUAGGUACCACUCUGGUGGGAAGGUAAACAGCGUUUCCGUGUGCUGCUCUGGUUUCACCAGAAGCAGCUUAGUCAUGCUGGCCACGUGAUCUGGAAAAACUGUCUGUGGACAAACGUCGGCUCCCUCGGCCAGUAAAGCAAGAUGAGUGCCACAACCCCAGAGUCGUUCGCAACUGGACUUAACUGUCAGAGGUCCUUUACCUUUUUACCUUUAUGGUCAAAGAGAAAAUUAUAUGAAAAUGAUAUAUUGAUGGCAUCUAACACCGAGUAAAUUGGCAAAAAAUGUAUAAAUCUAAAUCAAAUAAGUGCUGGAAAUGUAAAGAGAAAGAAAGUUCUUUUUAUCAUAUGUGGUGGUCUUGUAGCAAGGUUAAGGCAUACUGGGAAAUGAUAUAUAAUGAAAUGAAAAGGAUGUUUAAAAUAACGUUUGUAAAAAAACAAACAAACCAAAAGCUUUUCUUUUGGGAAUUAUAGGAACAGAACUGCCUAAACUGUAUAGAAACUGAUCCAUGUAUGCUACUACAGUGGCAAGAACGUUACUUGUCCAAAAAUGGAAAGAAGCAGAAGUCCCAGCAGAGGAAGAAUGGAUACAAAAACUUAUGGAAUAUGAAGAAAUGGCAAAACCAGAAAAAUAAGAAAUCAAGAUAACAAACUUUUUUAAAGAAUGGAAACGGUUUAUUGAAUAUUUACAGAUAAACUGUAAACAGAUAAGAAUAUUGGGAGGAUUAUUGUAAUAACCUGCAGUUUCAUAAGAGUAUAUAUUUAGAGUAGACGAAUAAAUGAGCAAAUUAAGUUAAUUUCGAUAUGCAGAAGAUAUUAAAAAUAAAUUUAAGGAACUGCAGAAAGAGGGGGAAGGAAGUCAAGCUUUGAAAUGUCAAAAUGAUUGUAAAAUUAAUAAAAUGUAUAAACUUGGAAAGUAUAAAUCUAUUUUUUUAAAACGAGGCAUGAAAGGUGCUGCUUCCCACCUGCCAUAGGAAGGGGUGUGUGGUGGGUGUGGUGUGCCCCAGGGGUCAUCACAUUUUUGAAUCAUGGCCCUGACUGAUAAUCUACUGAGUCUGUAUUACAAUGUCUCACUGUAUGUAAGAGGAGGAAAUCUAAAUGUGCAAUAAAAUACAGUGGUACCUUGGGUUACAUACUCUUCAGGUUACAUACAUUUCAGGUUACACACUCCACUAAGCCAGAAAUAGUGC